AGUAAGUUGUUGUAAUAAUGACCACCAAGAAAUGACAGUAAGUGGACAAGAAAGCUGAGAUGAAAUCCUUGCUUUGUGAUUCUACAGUUGAGUAGAAAGAAGAGACAUAAGAGGGUGAGCACCAGUUGACCAUGAACCAGAGGAGACGGCUGAUGAACUUCUUGAAUGUAAAGGCAGAGAGACCUCUGAAAUAUAUUGUGAGGGCUCAUCUCUGAAUUGUCACAGUUAUACCAAAGCCUACAUUCACACUAGACUUCUGCUUGGCUUUCAAGGUUUCCUUUUAUUUAUCUGUGAAUUAAAUUUGGCACAUUGA